rnacentral:ncRNA from 1 species
GAUAUGUUUCAGAAAUGGUUGCAAUUACCUACUGGUGGUAAGGUGGCCGAGCUUUAGGGUUUGUAACAACCCAGCUCAAUAAGCCAUCAAGUCCGCGACCCGCAAAAAAGGCGGUUAACCUGGUUAAAGUCCAGGACCAACGGUACAGUCCGGAUGUCAGAAACGGAGA